AGAAACGACAUAGAAGAAAACACUUUGAGAACCAAGAACCUUGCAAAUGAGAGGGGUAUGUUUUAAGAACAUGAAAUGGCAAGCUGCCAUUAAAGUGGACAAAAAACAAAUCCAUCCAAGUACAGUUGGCUCCCAACAAGAAGCUGCUUGUUUGUAUGACAGGUAUUGCAUCAUGUCUAAAUAGUAUAAUUCACCAAUUUUAAACCGCUUUCAUGUGUGGUAGAGAACCGAACUUUGAGCUCACGGCUGAGGAGAAGGACGAACUCAGUAAACUGAUUUGGGAUGAUUUCUUAACCAUGACUCGGUCAGCAAUCAACAGCAAAAAACAUCAAGAGACGGGUUAGUUCCCGAAUGAAGUUCGAGCAUCCGUCACAUAACAGCAGUGACCCGCAUACGAAGGCGGAUCAAGGAGGAAAGAGUUUCUCAAGAUCUGAAGAUGUUGAGACAUUGGGUUCCUGAUGAUUUAGAACUUUAUUAUUGGCAUUUCUUUUGUUAAAACAUUAUAAUCUUUAUAUCCAUUUUAACAA